rnacentral:rRNA from 1 species
AUGCAAGUCGAACGAGAUCUUCGGAUCUAGUGGCGCACGGGUGCGUAACGCGUGGGAAUCUGCCCUUGGGUUCGGAAUAACUUCUGGAAACGGAAGCUAAUACCGGAUGAUGACGUAAGUCCAAAGAUUUAUCGCCCAAGGAUGAGCCCGCGUAGGAUUAGCUAGUUGGUGGGGUAAAGGCUCACCAAGGCGACGAUCCUUAGCUGGUCUGAGAGGAUGAUCAGCCACACUGGGACUGAGACACGGCCCAGACUCCUACGGGAGGCAGCAGUAGGGAAUAUUGGACAAUGGGCGAAAGCCUGAUCCAGCAAUGCCGCGUGAGUGAUGAAGGCCUUAGGGUUGUAAAGCUCUUUUACCCGGGAUGAUAAUGACAGUACCGGGAGAAUAAGCUCCGGCUAACUCCGUGCCAGCAGCCGCGGUAAUACGGAGGGAGCUAGCGUUGUUCGGAAUUACUGGGCGUAAAGCGCACGUAGGCGGCUAUUCAAGUCAGAGGUGAAAGCCCGGGGCUCAACCCCGGAACUGCCUUUGAAACUAGAUAGCUUGAAUCCAGGAGAGGUGAGUGGAAUUCCGAGUGUAGAGGUGAAAUUCGUAGAUAUUCGGAAGAACACCAGUGGCGAAGGCGGCUCACUGGACUGGUA